GUGCUACCAGGGAGAAGGCUGUUACACUUAUCAGCGCUGGUCGGGCCACUGGGGAUGAUCGGGGCAGCAUCUCCACCGGAUUGAAAGAAGGCCAACGUCCGAGUGCGCCCAGUGCAGUCAGCAGUGACACCGAAUGUCCAACAGGCCGCUGCCUGGUCUGCGGCGAAGCAGCAGACAAUUAGGCGCACGUGUUGCUGGAGUGUCCGUGCUUUUACGGCCUCCGGCUCCGUGCGCGGGGAAACAUCGUCGGCGCGGCCCACGAUGUCGAACGCGACAACAUGGUGGCGAUCUUUGUCGCCGGCUACAAGGCCCACAAGAGCCUUGUUUUGGCUACGGCGGCAGCUUUGGGGACACCACAACAGCUGACGGCGGCCGCGGCCCCAGAGAUGCGCACCUGCGGGCAGGGCGGCCGCUGAUCUACGUCUCAGCUGAUUAUACUGAACAGACGGAGGAGACUGAGGCGCUGGACAACGAGUCUGUCUCUGGCCGUACUGAAGACGCUGGGUCGGAAGACCGUCAGUUCUGGUUGGGAAUCUGGCUGCUCUGACUCCGUCCAGCUGGCCGACGAGUGCGUGCCAAGACAGCCGCCGCCGCCGCCGCGCGCGCGCCAAGACGGCCGUCUACCGGCGCCGAUGCCGCCACGCGCACGUUAGACGCCCGUCCACUGGUGCCACCGCCCCACGCGCGCGCACAGUCGGCAGCCGCCGCGUAUGCGUGCCCGCCCAGAAAAUGCGCUCUGCCGCCGUUGACUGCGGCUCGAGAUUCAUGUUCAAGGUUUAGGCAUACACUCAUGUUAAUUGUCUACAUUCAUGAAGGUGCGUGGUGACAAAGAUGCCUCGUCUGUGGCAGCGGAUUUGCUUGUUCCGCCUCAACAUGUGCAAAGUUGUUAUGUAAACUGAUGCGCUCGGCAUUCGCCGUCCGCUCGCGCUGGUGGCGCGCGAACGAAUGACCUGGCCCUGUUCAUGCGGACCUGACGAGCGGCGGUAUGACGCAAUCACAUAGGCGGAUUACCUUUCACCGCGAAGAAAAUCAUUAUCAGCUGGCUUAAAAUUAUGCAAUUGUUUGCUCUCAGUUCGCCAGGUAAUAUCAUUCUUUGAUCAUUCAUGCUGACUUGCGUGGCUGAUAUUUGAUAAUAUAUAGUGUGAAGCGUUCCAUUUUUUUUCUUAUUUCAAAACUCAUCUGUGUAUCUCGCAACAAUAAUCAACCGAGUCUUUU